rnacentral:rRNA from 1 species
GAUGAACGCUGGCGGCGUGCCUAAUACAUGCAAGUCGAGCGAACAGACGAGGAGCUUGCUCCUUUGACGUUAGCGGCGGACGGGUGAGUAACACGUGGAUAACCUACCUAUAAGACUGGGAUAACUUCGGGAAACCGGAGCUAAUACCGGAUAACAUGUUGAACCGCAUGGUUCAACAGUGAAAGACGGUCUUGCUGUCACUUAUAGAUGGAUCCGCGCCGCAUUAGCUAGUUGGUAAGGUAACGGCUUACCAAGGCAACGAUGCGCAGCCGACCUGAGAGGGUGAUCGGCCACACUGGAACUGAGACACGGUCCAGACUCCUACGGGAGGCAGCAGUAGGGAAUCUUCCGCAAUGGGCGAAAGCCUGACGGAGCAACGCCGCGUGAGUGAAGAAGGUCUUCGGAUCGUAAAACUCUGUUAUUAGGGAAGAACAAAUGUGUAAGUAACUAUGCACGUCUUGACGGUACCUAAUCAGAAAGCCACGGCUAACUACGUG